CCUACGGGAGGCAGCAGUGGGGAAUCUUCCGCAAUGGGCGCAAGCCUGACGGAGCAACGCCGCGUGAGUGAAGAAGGGUUUCGACUCGUAAAGCUCUGUUGUCGGGGACGAAUGUGGAGAUGGUGAAUAACCAUUUUUCAAUGACGGUACCUGACGAGGAAGCCACGGCUAACUACGUGC
rnacentral:rRNA from 1 species